rnacentral:lncRNA from 1 species
CUCAGAACCCUUGGGAAGCCCAAGAUCGUCAAAAAGAGAACCAAGAAGUUUAUCCGGCACCAGUCUGACCGAUAUGUCAAAAUUAAGCGUAACCGGCGGAAACCCAGAGGUAUUGACAACAGGGUUCGUGGAAGGUUCAAGGGUUAGAUCUUGAUGCCCAACAUUGAUUAUGGGAGCAACAAGAAAACAAAGCACAUGCUGCCCAGUGGCUUCCGGAAAUUCCUGGUCCACACGUCAAGGAGCUGGAAGUGCUGCUGUUGUGCAACAAAUCUUACUGUGCUGAGAUCGCUCACAAUGUUUCCUCCAAGAACCGCAAAGCCAUCGUGGAAAAGAGCUGCCCAGCUGGCCGUCAGAGUCACCAACCCCAAUCCCAGGCUGCGCAGCAAAGAAAAUGAG